UCUCCGUAGGUGAACCUGCGGAAGGAUCAUUAGAGAUGUGCGCAAGCACUUUUCCCUUCUUACACCUGUGCACCGUUUGGUCUUCGGACCUAAUCACUAUACUUGUAGUCAUGAACGUAAACUAUUAUAACAUAAUAAAACUUUUAACAACGGAUCUCUUGGCUCUC
rnacentral:misc_RNA from 1 species